AUAAAAUAAUCUUUGUUAAUAAUUUUAUAAUGAGAUCAUCCCUUUCAUCUCAUCAGUUGUCGCUGAGGAACUUUUCAAAAUAAAAGAACUUGCUCAAGCCUAACAGGGAAAUGAUUUCCCUGAAAUCUGUUGGUAUUUAAAAUUUUCUCAAGCUAAAUAUAUAUUUUAUCUAAUUCAUUAUUAAAUCUUGAUUUCUUUCAGCUACUGCAUAUCCCUUACUGAUUAAUUAGUUAUAUUAUUUCUACAUUAUUUUAUGCAGGUUGACAACUCUGCUUCAUGACCUAUGACUUGGAUUUGGUACUUUCUUUCCCUGGAAAACACAUCUGGCAACAAAGCCGAGUUGUGAAGGUCAUCAUCAUAAUGUGGCCUGGAGGAAAUCUUCAGUGUAGAGCCAUUAGGAAGCCCUCUCUGGAAAGCCUUCACUAAGAGAGGAGAUGGGAAAAUGAAAAAAAACAUCAAGUACCUCCAUUGUCUCUGUGGGUGUGGGGGCAGGCUACAACGAUUCAUCUAUGUUACAGCUCUUUUUACAAGUACAAAUGGAGAGGACAAACAAAGGAGAAUUGCAAGCGGCGGCUACACUGGGACUGUGUGGAUGAGAGGGAGUUGUUUGACAAAUGCAGGUUGAUUCAAAGUGGGCACCAGUACAGUACCGCAGAUUCCUCUUCCAACAGGAGACUGCGGAGCUGAGGGCCAAAUGGGUAGGGAAUUCAACCCAGAAGAAUAAAACUGGGAAAGACCUUUUGGAAAGCAACUAAUUUUACAUAUUCCAUUAUCCUAUAAUGUUCCUUGUGGGGUUUUCUUUUCUUUAAGUGGAUUA